GUAAUCUCAUUGCUAUAUGAUUAGACUAUCUCUAAUUGGCAUGUUUGCUAGUGUUUUCUGCUAAACAUUCAGUUUUUCUAUUCAAUUUAUAGCAUGAGAAUAUCUUAGUAUGCUCUUGAACAAGGCUUUUGGCUGCAACUUGGAGCUGUAGUUAUUAUAUUUGUGUUGAAUGUUGAAUGGCUAAAUACCCUCAGCAAAAAUAAUUUCAGCAAACUGUGUAAAUUAUGCAACAGCUCUAAAACCACAAUUUCCAUCUCCUAACACUUCAAUAAUGUCAACAAUAUGUGGAUGUAUAUGAU
rnacentral:lncRNA from 1 species